UACGGAGGAUCCGAGCGUUAUCCGGAUUUAUUGGGUUUAAAGGGUGCGCAGGCGGGAGAUUAAGUCGGCGGUGAAAUUUUGCAGCUCAACUGUAAAAGUGCCUUCGAAACUGGUUUCCUUGAGUGUAGAUGAAGUAGGCGGAAUUUGUGGUGUAGCGGUGAAAUGCAUAGAUAUCACGAGGAACUCCGAUUGCGCAGGCAGCUUACUAAACCACUACUGACGCUCAUGCACGAAGGCGUGGGGAUCAAACAGGAUUAGAUACCCCUGUA
rnacentral:rRNA from 1 species